rnacentral:rRNA from 1 species
GACGAACGCUGGCGGCGUGCCUAAUACAUGCAAGUCGAACGCUGAAGAGAGGAGCUUGCUCUUCUUGGGUGAGUUGCGAACGGGUGAGUAACGCGUAGGUAACCUGCCUUGUAGCGGGGGAUAACUAUUGGAAACGAUAGCUAAUACCGCAUAACAAUGUAUUACACAUUUCAUUUAUUUGAAAGGGGCAAUUGCUCCACUACAAGAUGGACCUUCGUUGUAUUAGCUAGUAGGUGAGGUAAUGGCUCACCUAGGCGACGAUACAUAGCCGACCUGAGAGGGCGAGUGGCCACACUGGGACGGAGACACGGCACAGUCGCAUAGGGGAGGCAGCAGGAGGGAAUCGUCGGGAAGGGGGGCAACACAGAGCGAGAAACGCCGAGGGAGGGAAGAAGGGUGUCGGAUCGUAAAGCUCGGUUGUAAGGCAAGAAAGGGUGUGAGAGUGGAAAGUUCACACUGUGACGGUAGCUGACCAGAAAGAGACGGCUAACUACGUG